GGGUCUUCAAUGACUGGGAGGGGAUGGAGCUUGGCCCUGCGCCUGUCCCCUCUCUUCCCUACCUUCUGGCAGACAUCACAAGACUGAUAAUAUUGUCUCAGAUCUUUUGAGAUGCCUGGCCAGAAGAAGCUUUGGGUGAGCCGAUGUUUAGUACAACUUACCCCCAGAUGCCCAGCUAGGGAAAUGUUGCGGGCUAUUUUUU